AGGGUAGUAGCUCUAAUGGUAGAGCGUCGGUCUCCAAAACCGCAGGUUGGGGGUUCGAAUCCCUCCUACCCUGCCA
rnacentral:tRNA from 1 species